GAGCCCCUCUGCCUGGCUGCCCAGUCUGGAAAGUGAGGAGCGUCUCCGCCCGGCUGCCAUCCCACGUAGGAAGUGAGGAACACCUCUUCCCGUCCGCCAUCACAUCUAGGAAGUGAGGAGCAUCUCUGCCCGGCCGCCCAUCGUCUGAGACGUGGGGAGUGCCUCUGCCCCGCCGCCCCGUCUGGGAUGUGAGGAGCACCUCUGCCCGACCCCGACCCCGUCUGGGAGCGCAUUUGAAAUGGUGCUGGGAAAGCGGUGAACUGGAAGUAAUGGAUCCCGCUGCCUCUCUGAGGAAGAGAAAAAUCCCAUGACCGGAUUUGAGGAAACAAACGGAAGUCUAAGUGCACCCACUUCCGGAGUGGGCACCGCUCCUCAGUAAAUUCUACAGCUGGAAGGAAGUUUCUAGAGGCACCUCAGCACUGACUUCAGUACCCAUCACUCCACAACUCAAGGAUGGAAACCUUGAACGUCUGAAUUUGCUGAACUGCUUGAGAUGAGACAUCCGUUGUGGACUCUUCUUUUUUGCCCUUUGCUGGAUGGUAGGUGGAGGACAGUUAUCAGAGCUGCAGAGAAGGAAAUAACCUGUCUGGCAUCAGACACUGAUCCUGUUACCAUCUAAUCCACACAGCGGCAGUGGGAGAGCAGAGCAGGAGCCACGAUGGCGGGGGCCAUGGCAGGACAAGCAUUUAGAACGUUUCUCUGCUCCUUGACUGAGUAUUGGUUGAAAGGCAUGCACCCGAAACCCUGCACUCAAAGCCAUGACAUGAGGGACUUGGAUAACAAAUACUUGGAUAAUGAAAACAUCCAAUAAUUAAUGUGCCACCUACUCACCAGGAUCAUGGCCCAACAGGGAAAUGUGGAACAAAGCUCUCCUCAAGGGGAAAGAAAAUGGGAUACACGGCUUGGAAAACCUUCACUAACACUCCCAUAUGAAGAGUGAUAGAAUGCUAAUUUCCCACAGAUUCAUUAUCACCAUGAAAUGAAAUUUUGGAACACAUCACAGGUAAAUGUAAUGUGCAAAUGUAGAAUUCAACAAUUCAAGUUUUAGCUGCCUCAUGUUUUUACACCUCUGUCAACAGGACCCUCAUUAAAUUUUUUUUUCCUAUGAUUGUAGUUGAAAGGAAAACUGAAGAAAAUAUUAUUCUGGAUAGAAAGAUGUCCUUUCCAUCUAACCUUUUAUGAAGGGAGCCCAACUGUGUAUGUGUGUAUAUAUAUAUAUAUACUCCUAGUUUUUUUUUUAUCUGAUUACAAAUAUUUACUGUACCUAGGGACUGUGCUACAUCCUGGAGAUACAAUUGUGAAGUACUCAUACUCAGUCCCUUUUCUGGUGGAGCUUGUAAUCUAGUGGAGGAGGACUACACUAACUUUUUUUUAAAUGAGUAUAAAAUUACAUUCUAAAAUAAGUGCUUCUGGGAAGAAAAUUGGUUUUAUUAGAGCCAAAUACUAUGAAAAUAUUAUGUUCUGGGAGGUAAAAGAAGGUUUACCUCCCAAAGUGGGAUUUGAGUAGAAAACUAUAGAAUAAGUAGCUAGGGUAAGUAAAAGCAAGGGCAGCAUGUGCAAAGGCUCAGUGGCAAAAACAAGAGGAAGUCUUGCAAGAGCUGAAAGAAGGGCAGAGGAGCUGGCUUGCCCAGGGCAAGGAGGGGUGUGGUGCCAGUGAUGCUGCAGAGAAGAGCACAGACAGACUAGGCAGGCCUUGAGAGGAGGCUGAGGGUUCUGGCCUAAGAACCCUGGGAAGUCAUUGAACAGUUUCAGCAGAGCCUGGUGACCCGGUCAGGUCUUUGUAUUUUAUAAGAGGGCCUUUGUUUUCACAUCUUCUUAUAUUUUCCAUAAUUAUAUGAUCAAUUCGAGCAAUAGUAUUUGUUUUCCUUGAAUUAUCCUGAUAAUUGCAGACAUACACAUACACAUAUAUAUAUUGUUUUUUCUGAAAGAUGUUAGUCCAGUUUGCUCCAGAAUUAUCAUUAUCUUUCACUCUCAUUUGGAUAACAGAAUUAUCAAUAUAUUUCAUUCUCAUUUGGAUACUUCUGGGCACUGACUCUAUUUAGCUAAGAACUAAAUUAACUCUGUCCUGGGCUAUGAUGGGGAAUGAACAGAGAACCCUAUCCCUGUGUAUUAAAUGUGCAGGUGAAAUUGCCCUUCUCUGUUGGAAACAGUGAGAGUAACAGCCAUUCCAUCACCAAGAUGGGUUCAAAUUGAGUUGUCUGGUGGCAUCUGCAGGGCCUCUGUAAACUAUGUCUAUAAUCCAAAUUUCUUAGCAUUUCCAAAAAAUGGAUUAAGUUGCUUUGACAGGCUCUGUUUUUUAUGAACCUCUUUGGCUAUGACUUACUAUGUUAUUUUUCUGAAGAUGCUCAUGGACUGAUUUAUGAUUUCAUUUAGAGUUUUGACUGGUAGUUUGGAUGCGCUAACUAGCCCACCUUUUCCUGUAUCUGCUUUUGGCUGCUUUAGCUCCAACACUAAAUCAGCCUGCUUAAAUUUCCCUGGUACAUAACUCUCUAUGACAAACACUAGUAUUGCAGGUAUGUCCUGCCUUAGCUGGUUCUUUGAAUUUGUUCAAAUGAAUCUCACCCAGCUGUACUGAUUUAUAAAUAUUUAAAUUGUAUAAGUAUUCUUUUACCUGCCUCUUAUUAAUUCUGUUUCUUGAUAUUCCCAGAGACUCAUUAAUAUUUAUCUUACUGAGCUCCUGCUUCCUUCGUUCUUUGUGCUAAAGGCUGAGACAAAAUAGUAGCUCCAUAGUCAUUCUUCUUUGCAUCUUUCAUUAUUUUCUCUCACCCCUGACUUAGCAAAAGUAGCCUUUGUUUUCUUGGGCGUAUCAUCCUAUUUUAUUUUUGGAAGCCUUUGCGGUAACUUCUUGCUUCUUCUGCUUCUCUAAUUCUGCCCUUUCAGCCACUAUCUCUUGGAGCUAUAUUUUCUUCAUAUAAUAUUCUUGUCCUAAAACUCUACACAAUUGGAUUUUUGCUUUUUUUCCCCUUCAAAAAGGAAAUAUUCAUGAUUUAAGCCUUGUAUGUGUGUGAUUAUAUAACAGCACCCAGCAACCACUUAUGUGUUCUUUUUUUAGAGGCUAUACUUGAAUGCCCACACCCAUGUUCUUUCUUUCGGUAGAAGACCCAGGGUAGUAACCAUUCAGUUCUUGAAAGAUGGUCUGGAUGCAGAACAUCACCAGAACAUUGAUCUGAAACAAACAACAAAUGAAUGUAAAAGCAAGACAAAGGACUUCCAAUAACAACAAAAUAUUAGUAAUAAAAAGAUUCCUGGAAGAGUCCAGGAAUCUGCCUCAUCAGAAACACACUGGGAUUUUUUCUGCUUGUUUGUUUGUUUGUUUUUUGUAGAGAUGGAGGUUUCACUCUGUUGCCUAGGCUGGUCUUGAACUCCUGGCCUCAAGCAAUCCUCCCACUUCUGCCUCCCAAUACACUGGGAUUACAGGCUUGAGCCACCGUGCCCAGCUCACACUGGAAAUUCUAAUGUGUUUUCAAAAGAAAACAUACUGUAUACUAUACACAAACACACACACACACACACACACUGAGAGAGAGAGAAAGAAAGAAAAGAGUGUGUACAGUAUCAUUGCAUUUAUUCAAAGUUCAAGAAUAGGCAAAACGAAAUUAUAGUGACAGAGGUCAGAAGAGUGGUUCCCUCCGGGGAUGAGUAUUUACUGCAAGCAGCCUGAAGAUGCUGGAAAUGCUUUACAUCUUAGUCAAGGUGGUGGGUACAUGGGAGUGUACAUAUGUGUAUAUAUACAGGUUCAUCAAGCUGUGCCUUGUGAUUAGUGCACUUUAAAAAUGUAACACUUGGGAGGCUGAGGCAGGUGGAUUGCCUGAGCUCAGGAGUUUGAGACCAGCCUGGGCAACAUGGUGAAACCCCAUCUCUACUAAAAUACAGAAAAUUAGUUGGGCGUGGCAAUGUGCGCCUGUAAUCCCAGCUACUUGGGAGGCUAAGACAGGAGAAUCGCUUGAACCCGGGAGGUUGCAGUGAACUGAAAUCGCGCCAUUGCACUCCA
rnacentral:lncRNA from 1 species